UACAGAGGGUGCAAGCGUUGUUCGGAAUUAUUGGGCGUAAAGCGCGUGUAGGCGGCCUAGCAAGUCGGAUGUGAAAGCCCUCGGCUUAACCGAGGAAGUGCGUUCGAAACUACUGGGCUUGAGUGCCGGAGAGGGUGGCGGAAUUCCCGGUGUAGAGGUGAAAUUCGUAGAUAUCGGGAGGAACACCAGUGGCGAAGGCGGCCACCUGGACGGUAACUGACGCUGAGACGCGAAAGCGUGGGUAGCAAAC
rnacentral:rRNA from 1 species